GUCACGAUAGCUCAAGUGGUAGAGCAGUGGCAUACCAAGCCGAAGAUCGUGGGUUCGAAUCCCGCUCGUGCCA
rnacentral:tRNA from 1 species